CGAAGGUCCCAAGCGUUAUCCGGAUUUAUUGGGUUUAAAGGGUGCGUAGGCGGCUUAUUAAGUCAGUGGUGAAAGCCCCAAGCUUAACUUGGGAACUGCCAUUGAUACUGAUGAGCUUGAGUAGAUUUGAGGCGGGCGGAAUGUGUCGUGUAGCGGUGAAAUGCUUAGAUAUGACACAGAACACCAAUUGCGUAGGCAGCUCGCUAAACUCUUACUGACGCUGAGGCACGAAAGCAUGGGGAUCAAACAGGAUUAGAUACCCUGGUAGUCCAUGCCCUAAACGAUGAUUACUCGAUGUGUGCGAUACACUGUACGCGUCUGAGCGAAAGCAUUAAGUAAUCCACCUGGGGAGUACGGUCGCAAGACUG
rnacentral:rRNA from 1 species